GACGAACGCUGGCGGCAUGCCUAAUACAUGCAAGUCGAGCGAACAGAUGAAGUGCUUGCACUUCUGACGUUAGCGGCGAACGGGUGAGUAACACGUAAGGAAUCUACCUAUAAGCGGGGGAUAACAUUCGGAAACGGGUGCUAAUACCGCAUAAUAUCUUCUUCCGCAUGGAAGAAGAUUGAAAGACGGCUCUGCUGUCACUUAUAGAUGACCUUGCGGUGCAUUAGUUAGUUGGUGGGGUAACGGCCUACCAAGACGAUGAUGCAUAGCCGACCUUGGAGGGUGAUCGGCCACAUUUGGACUUAGGCACGGCCCAAACUCCUACGGGAGGCAGAAGUAGGGAAUCUUCCGCAAUGGGCGAAAGGCUGACGGAGCAAUGCCGCGUGAGUGAAGAAGGCCUUCGGGUCGUAAAACUCUGUUAUAAGAGAAGAACAAAUUGUCGAGUAACUGCUACAGUCUUGACGGUAUCUUAUCAGAAAGCCACGGCUAACUACGUGCCAGCAGCCGCCGCAG
rnacentral:rRNA from 1 species